rnacentral:rRNA from 1 species
AACCCAGUGCAAUUCGUUGCACUAUCGUUAACUGAAUACAUAGGUUAACGAGGCGAACCGGGGGAACUGAAACAUCUAAGUACCCCGAGGAAAAGAAAUCAACCGAGAUUCCCCCAGUAGCGGCGAGCGAACGGGGAGCAGCCCAGAGUCUGAAUCAGCUUGUGUGUUAGUGGAACGGUCUGGAAAGUCCGACGGUACAGGGUGAUAGUCCCGUACACCAAAAUGCACAGGCUGUGAACUCGAAGAGUAGGGCGGGACACGUGGUAUCCUGUCUGAAUAUGGGGGGACCAUCCUCCAAGGCUAAAUACUCCUGACUGACCGAUAGUGAACCAGUACCGUGAGGGAAAGGCGAAAAGAACCCCGGCGAGGGGAGUGAAAAAGAACCUGAAACCGUGUACGUACAAGCAGUGGGAGCACCUUCGGGUGUGACUGCGUACCUUUUGUAUAAUGGGUCAGCGACUUAUAUUCUGUAGCAAGGUUAACCGUAUAGGGGAGCCGCAGGGAAACCGAGUCUUAACUGGGCGUUAAGUUGCAGGGUAUAGACCCGAAACCCGGUGAUCUAGCCAUGGGCAGGUUGAAGGUUGGGUAACACUAACUGGAGGACCGAACCGACUAAUGUUGAAAAAUUAGCGGAUGACUUGUGGCUGGGGGUGAAAGGCCAAUCAAACCGGGAGAUAGCUGGUUCUCCCCGAAAGCUAUUUAGGUAGCGCCUCGUGAACUCAUCUUCGGGGGUAGAGCACUGUUUCGGCUAGGGGGUCAUCCCGACUUACCAACCCGAUGCAAACUACGAAUACCGAAGAAUGUUAUCACGGGAGACACACGGCGGGUGCUAACGUCCGUCGUGAAGAGGGAAACAACCCAGACCGCCAGCUAAGGUCCCAAAGUCAUGGUUAAGUGGGAAACGAUGUGGGAAGGCACAGACAGCCAGGAUGUUGGCUUAGAAGCAGCCAUCAUUUAAAGAAAGCGUAAUAGCUCACUGGUCGAGUCGGCCUGCGCGGAAGAUGUAACGGGGCUAAACCAUGCACCGAAGCUGCGGCAGCGACACUAUGUGUUGUUGGGUAGGGGAGCGUUCUGUAAGCCUGCGAAGGUGUGCUGUGAGGC